rnacentral:tRNA from 1 species
GCCGGGGUGGCGGAAUGGUAGACGCGGCGGUCUCAAAAACCGCUGGGUGAAAGCUCGUGCGGGUUCGAGUCCCGCCCCCGGCACCA